ACGAAGAGGUAUCGUAAUUGAAGAGGUUUGGAAAGACCCACCACAGAAGGUAAUAGUCCUGUAUGUUAAACGAGAAGACUUCAGAUAUGAUCCAGAGUACCACGGGACACGUGAAACCCUGUGGGAAGCAGGAGGGACCACCCUCCAAGGCUAAAUACUACCUAGUGACCGAUAGCGUAUAGUACCGUGAGGGAAAGGUGAAAAGAACCCCGGGAGGGGAGUGAAAUAGAACCUGAAACCCUGCACUUACAAGCUGUGGAAGCACAUUUCUUGUGUGACCGCGUACUUUUUGUAGAACGGGCCAACGAGUUACGUUAAGUAGCAAGGUUAAGCACUUAAGGUGCGGAGCCGUAGCGAAAGCGAGUUUUAACUGAGCGUUCAGUUACUUGACGUAGACCCGAAACCGGGCGACCUACCCAUGAGCAGGAUGAAGCGAAAGUAAAAUUUCGUGGAGGUCCGAACCCACGAGCGUUGAAAAGCUCGGGGAUGACUUGUGGGUAGCGGUGAAAUUCCAAUCGAGCCCGGAGAUAGCUGGUUCUCCCCGAAAUAGCUUUAGGGCUAGCCUCAAGGUGAGAGAUACGGAGGUAGAGCACUGAAUGUCCUAGGGGGUAUUGCACCUACCGAAGACUAUCAAACUCCGAAUGCCGUCAUCUUAUACUUGGGAGUCAGACUG
rnacentral:rRNA from 1 species